GAUGAACGCUGGCGGCGUGCCUAAUACAUGCAAGUCGAGCGAACGGACGAGAAGCUUGCUUCUCUGAUGUUAGCGGCGGACGGGUGAGUAACACGUGGAUAACCUACCUAUAAGACUGGGAUAACUUCGGGAAACCGGAGCUAAUACCGGAUAAUAUUUUGAACCGCAUGGUUCAAAAGUGAAAGACGGUCUUGCUGUCACUUAUAGAUGGAUCCGCGCUGCAUUAGCUAGUUGGUAAGGUAACGGCUUACCAAGGCAACGAUGCAUAGCCGACCUGAGAGGGUGAUCGGCCACACUGGAACUGAGACACCGUCCAGACUCCUACGGGAGGCAGCAGUAGGGAAUCCUCCGCAAUGGGCGAAAGCCUGACGGAGCAACGCCGCGUGAGUGAUGAAGGUCUUCGGAUCGUAAAACUCUGUUAUUAGGGAAGAACAUAUGUGUAAGUAACUGUGCACAUCUUGACGGUACCUAAUCAGAAAGCCACGGCUAACUACGUG
rnacentral:rRNA from 1 species